rnacentral:snoRNA from 1 species
UGGCUGUGAGGAUAAUGCUUUAAAUGAAUGGCAGUGAUCGCUCAUACGCUAUUCUGAGCCAACA